AUUGAACGCUGGCGGCAUGCUUUACACAUGCAAGUCGAACGGUAACAGGCCGCAAGGUGCUGACGAGUGGCGAACGGGUGAGUAAUGCAUCGGAACGUGCCCAGUCGUGGGGGAUAACUACUCGAAAGAGUAGCUAAUGCCGCAUACGAUCUAUGGCUGAAAGCGGGGGACCGUAAGGCCUCGCGCGAUUGGAGCGGCCGAUGUCAGAUUAGGUAGUUGGUGGGGUAAAGGCUCACCAAGCCAACGAUCUGUAGCUGGUCUGAGAGGACGACCAGCCACACUGGGACUGAGACACGGCCCAGACUCCUACGGGAGGCAGCAGUGGGGAAUUUUGGACAAUGGGCGCAAGCCUGAUCCAGCAAUGCCGCGUGCAGGAAGAAGGCCUUCGGGUUGUAAACUGCUUUUGUACGGAACGAAACGGCUCUGGUUAAUACCCGGGGCUAAUGACGGUACCGUAAGAAUAAGCACCGGCUAACUACGU
rnacentral:rRNA from 1 species